CUCUCCUCACGCCUUCGUCCGUUCAGACGGUCGUUCCAUCUCCACCCAAACCAAUUUUCAUCCUCGAAUUCUGGUUAGUUAGGGAUUCAUGCCAUCCCCGUAUCAUCCCUACUACCAUCAUCAACACCGCUGGUACUCCGAUUUCCGCUCCGCCCUCUCCCUCCUGGUCAGUAGUUGUUUAGUUUUACUUUCUACUUUUAUUUAUGAAAUGGAAUCUAUUAACUAAGUUAAUUAGCUAAUUAAUUCAUAGAUAAGUUCUUAAUUUUUUUACUAAAAUUGUAAUUUGGGCCUUAAAGGUAAUUGGAGGAAAAGGGUUCUUUUAGCGCUUAAUUUUAUGGAUAGAAAGAAUUUUGACAGAAAUAAUUAGAGUUAAUUUCUUGAAGUCUUCCAUGAGUACCAAUUUUAUAGGCUCAAUUCUAUUUUAUGAACUUCUGGAUGGUUUUGGCUGAUACGUUUAGGCCAGAUCUAGUAUUUUAAAAUGAUAGAAACCUAAUUCAAGGAUGCUUGUUGAUUGUAUGCUUGCUAGAUCUGAGGUUGCUUUGAUUUUCUUUGCCUGUUUAGGGAAAGGUGAAUUCAUGAACUUUAUGGAAAAAUUGAAUUUUUACAGCGUGACUUGUGGAGAUUGUGUCGUUGACUAUUAAUUUGGGUUUUCCCAAUUUGCUUUUUGAGCGCUAGACUUUUUCCCAAUUACACCAUACAAUCUACCUAGCAAGAGAAUAAAAUGAUGAUUCCUGUUCUUCUUCUUGGCUGAACACAUUGAAAAAUUGAUGGACUGUCGAUCAACUCCUCAUAGCUUGUAUAUCUUUUCGGUUUUGACAGCAUUGACAUUUUGGAUGACAGUUGAGGUUAGCAUCCAUUUUCUAAAUUUCUAAUCACUUUCUAUUUCUUUUAUUUGUGAAGAUAUGUUUAGUUUUCUCUCUUUGACUUCUUUUUGAGGAUUCUCCACCAUUUGAGAGCUCCUUUUCUUCCCUUCCUGCUUUAUUAUUUGAUAAAUGGACCCCUAAUAGAAAAUCCCUAGCACUCAACCUUCCUUAGAAUUUCAAACUCCUAUCCUAUAAAUUGUGCAUCUGGAAGGCUAGAAUUAUGGGAUUUCUAUGAGUAAUCUGUAAAAUUAAGUAGCUUAUAUCAAAAGAGAGAAGUCAAAUUCAAUCGUUGUUAUUUUCUUAUCAACGAAACUUGUUCUCUCGUUAAAUGUUAAAUCCAACAAUGAUGUGACCUGUGAGGUUAUAUUGGGUCUCUUAAUUGAUUUAUGUUGGUCAUUACUUGGAUCUUGUGUGAGAUCCUGCUAAGUCUUAGAAGAGAUCCUGCUAAUUCAUGUCCAUAAGGAGUUUUGGCAUGCAUUUGGCUUCAGUUGGUUAGUUGGAUAGUAAAAUUUUGAGAAUUAGCAUUGAUUAGUCUCAUUUGUAAAUUAACUAUGUUCAGAAGAAAGGAUUCUGCAUUUUACUUAACACAGUUUUAAACCAUAAAACCUGGGUCUCUUGUUGAUAGAGAAAUAGUAUUUCUACAAUUAUAGACUAAUUUGUUUAUAAUGCUUAAAGCUUCUAUAUAAAUUCUCUAAGCUGUUUGUCCUUGGCCUAUGUUGGUGGUUUUUUCAUUGGUCGUUAUCUGGUGCAUUAUUUUUAUGCAAUUCAAAUGAUAAUACUUAUCUAGUGAGAAUUAUGUUAGCUGAAUUUUUUGUUAUCUUGUUUGCAUCAACAGACUGCAAUGGAUAAAAGAAGUUGGCCUAUCUUUAUCUUCUUGUUCUAUAGGCCAGGAGUGAUAUUUAAAGCACAGCUUAUGUCGAAAAUUAUUGAAACGAAAAUUAAGGACGCCAAUUGGGUGGUUCACACACUACUUAGUUAGUGGUUUUUUUAUUUUUUAUUUAUUUAUUUAUUUUUAUUUUUUUUGGAUGUUUAGGUAUUUUAGAAUUUUGGAUUUGGA
rnacentral:lncRNA from 1 species